rnacentral:rRNA from 2 species
UUUUUGGUUAGCGGCGGACGGGUGAGUAACACGUGGGCAUCCUGCCUGUAAGACUGGGAUAACUUCGGGAAACCGGACCUAAUACCGGAUAAUCCUUUUCUACUCAUGUAGAAAAGCUGAAAGACGGUUUACGCUGUCACUUACAGAUGGGCCCGCGGCGCAUUAGCUAGUUGGUGAGGUAACGGCUCACCUCCGCGACUAUGCGUAGCCGACCUGAAAGGGUGAUCGGCCACACUGGGACUGAAAACCCCCCCAGACUCCUACGGGAGGCAGCAUUAGGGAAUCUUCCGCAAUGGACGAAAGUCUGACGGAGCAACGCCGCGUGAGUGAUGAAUGUUUUCGGAUCGUAAAACUCUGUUGUUAGGGAAGAACAAGUACGAGAGUAACUGCUCGUACCUUGACGGUACCUAACCGGAAAGCCACGGCUAACUCCCCCGCCAGCAGCCGCGGUAAUACGUAGGUGGCAAGCGUUGUCCGGAAUUAUUGGGCGUAAAGCGCGCGCAGGCGGUCCUAUUAAGUCUGAUGUGAGAUCCCACGGCUCACCCGUGGAGGGUCAUUGGAGACUGGGGGACUUGAGUGCAGAAGAGAAUAGUGGAAUUCCACGUGUAGCGGUGAAAAUGCGUAG